rnacentral:rRNA from 1 species
CAGUAGCCGCGGUAAGACGAACCGUGCGAACGUUAUUCGGAAUUACUGGGCUUAAAGCGCGUGUAGGCGGGUCGGCACGUCGGUCGCUGAAAUCCCCCGGCUCAACCGGGGAAGUGGCGCCGAUACGGCCGGCCUGGAGGGGGGUAGGGGGGCCUGGAACUUCCGGUGGAGCGGUGAAAUGCGUUGAGAUCGGAAGGAACGCCCGUGGCGAAAGCGAGGCCCUGGACCCUUUCUGACGCUCAUGCACGAAAGCGUGGGGAGCAAACAGGAUUAGAUACCCCCGUAGUCCCUGUCUCUUAUA